AUUGAACGCUGGCGGCAUGCCUUACACAUGCAAGUCGAACGGCAGCACGGACUUCGGUCUGGUGGCGAGUGGCGAACGGGUGAGUAAUAUAUCGGAACAUACCCUAGAGUGGGGGAUAACGUAGCGAAAGUUACGCUAAUACCGCAUACGAACUAAGGUUGAAAGCGGGGGAUCUUCGGACCUCGUGCUCAUGGAGUGGCCGAUAUCUGAUUAGCUAGUUGGUGAGGUAAAGGCUCACCAAGGCGACGAUCAGUAGCUGGUUUGAGAGAACGACCAGCCACACUGGAACUGAGACACGGUCCAGACUCCUACGGGAGGCAGCAGUGGGGAAUUUUGGACAAUGGGCGCAAGCCUGAUCCAGCAAUGCCGCGUGAGUGAAGAAGGCC
rnacentral:rRNA from 1 species